UACGGGGGGGGCAAGCGUUGUUCGGAAUUACUGGGCGUAAAGGGCUCGUAGGUGGCCAACUAAGUCAGACGUGAAAUCCCUCGGCUUAACCGGGGAACUGCGUCUGAUACUGGAUGGCUUGAGUUUGGGAGAGGGACGCGGAAUUCCAGGUGUAGCGGUGAAAUGCGUAGAUAUCUGGAGGAACACCGGUGGCGAAGGCGGCGUCCUGGACCAACACUGACACUGAGGAGCGAGAGCCAGGGGAGCAAACGGG
rnacentral:rRNA from 1 species